AGAAAAGAAAAAAGAAACUGCAACGAUGAACAGAUCAGCAUAGGUGACGUGCACUGAACAAGGUAAAAAAGGUAGAAAAUUAUUUGGAGAGGUGGACAGAGGACACAUCAAGAAGCGCCUUGUACAUUGAAUCAGGCAACAUCUCAUCCUAUAAAAUAAAAUGGGUUUUCCAGUGAGCUGAGCACAGGAGGCUGGCUUUAUAGGCAGAAAAGGGCUGAAGAAAACAGAAACAGAGAACCAAGAGCAGAUGGUUUGUUUCAAGGAUCCGGUUUUGUUCAGGUGUUCACACAAAUCAUGAGAUUCACAGGAAUGGGAAACCGAACUCAUCCCCAGCUCCAGAAGUGGAUGCUGAUAUUGUAAACCAAUCACCAGAUGCCAUUCCUUUGAUGAUGAUGAUUAAUUUGCCCAGGGGCAGGUAUGAGACCCAACUUGAACUGGUCAGACAGAAGGGAAGGACUUAAUUCCAGAUGGACACCUGUUCUUUCUCCUACCAGUGAGGAAAAGGAAACAAGAUGUCCAGCUGUUGGCCCCAGUCAUAAG
rnacentral:lncRNA from 1 species